rnacentral:lncRNA from 1 species
AAUGAAGAACCACGUUGCUGACUGGAAUUCUAUGUCACCUGACUUCCGGAGGCACUGAGUAAAUUCUAGAGAAACAAACAGUGUAUGCACACAAGCCAUCAGAACUGAUGGGCAGGAGACAAGAGGGAUUCUUAAAUGUAUGAAGCCUUUUCCUUGAAGGGUUCAGCUGUCAAUCACUAUGGGGAAAAUAAACAAAACAGCAAAGACUGUGAAGAGGUCAAAGAAGCAGAGCUCUCUUCGUGGCUGUCACUGGCUGGUGGUUCCUAGUGAAACGAGUCUGCUCAGACUCUCACCUGUGACCCUGGCUGCCAAGUCCUGUAGGGGCUGGAUGUAUUCUCAACUCCCCCCAGCCUGCAUCAGUCCUGGAGGCAGCCCACAUUUCUUGGAUCAUAGCCCCCUUUGUCUUUAAAGUUAUCCAAGGUUCGUGGAGUCUUUCCCAGACUACAUGUCCUUGACACACACACUCAUCUAUCUUCUAAAGACCUGUAAUAUCAGCUGGAAAGACGGCUUCCAACCUCAGGUAAAGCUGGACUUCUCUCCUGUCACCUGAAGUUCCUACAUGGACAGACACUGGCCUAAGUUUCUUAUAAAGAACCACCAGAUGCCAGCUUUCCAGGAAGCUCCCUCCCCCAGUAACCAGAAGCCUCUUCAAGGACCCUCUGUCCUUUGAAGACCUCACUCUUAGAUCAUAUUUCUGGUCUGAGGGAGCCUCUGUUCAUGGCACAGUGCUGUGGCCAAGAGGCUGAUAUGCCUAGACACCACAAAGAAUCCUGCUGCUGGGUGCACUCUGCACCCACCCCACAAGGAUUUUAUGACACCCUCCAGGAUUCCACUCUUGGGAAUGGCCUCUAGAGUAAGAAUUUGCCAUCUAAAAUAGUUUGAACAAUGGAAACAAGAAUCCAUAUGUGUGUGUGUAUGUGCGUGUGUGUGUAUGUGUAUGUCUGUGUGUGUGUGUAAUUUGUAAGACGGAAGGAGAAGUUUGCCAACCACCUAUCACAAGGUGAUAGGCACUGCUCUGCGUGCCAUGUCACCAAUCCCAUGUUCUGCACAGCAGGCUGCUAUAGGGCUGCAUUCUGGAUCGACCCCUGUGCCACUUUGGCCAAGCUACGGCAGCUCCUUGAGCUUCAGUUUUGUUGUUCCCCAAACGGGAAAGGCUAAUUUGAAGAGUGAGGAAAAGAUAGCAGGAUGCUGAGCAGGUGAGCAGCACCACAGAGUGGGGAGUAGAGUGGGGGGAUUGGUCAGCUGCUGAAUCCACCAGCAAUGAUUUCUGGACCAGAAUCAGCCCAAACAACACCCUUCCCUACUGGAAGAACCUACACACAAAGUGCCAGACAAACACGGCUCUUCAGCACUCCCUGAUGGGUGCUGUGCUUCUUUCUAGACCCCAUUUAUAAAUUUGAACUGAACAGAUGUAUUACAUGGAAUACUUUAAAAC